CAUAUUAUUGAUAUUAUUUGUUUAAAGGUCAGGUGAGUUAAUACUCACUAUUAGAUAGUCCAAUUUAUGGUUAGAUUUUGUUCGUUUAUUUUCUUAAAAUUGGACUUCCCGAAUGGGCUUUUUUAUUUAAAUUAAAAAUAGUUAGAUUUACUACAAGUUUCAGGAGCUUUAUGCUGACCCAGGUCCUAGUGCCGAUCUAACAAAAAAAUCGAGUCGUGACAAAAACUGCCUCUGGAGUUCAGUCAAAUGUGCAAUGUCAGGAUAACCCUCUCUCCCCUUCAUGGAUCCCUCCCCCUCAAAAUUGGAUAAAAGUUAAUUUAAUACUGCAGUUGACAAGCAACAUGGGAAGGGCAUAGGUGCGGUCAUUGCUCAAGACUCUUAUGGAAACCCGCUGAUCUAGAAUUGCAGGAUUUAUAAUUCUAUUUUUGAUCCCCUAGCGCUUGAGUAUUUAGCCUGCAUAGAUGCCACUCUUCUAGCUGCCAAUAGGGGUUUUAAUUAAGUUAUGAUUGAAGGAGAUUCCUUGAUGGUGAUUCAAGCUUUGAAUGGUCACGCUUUUCCCUUGGAUAUUCAAGGGUUGAUCAAGGAUAUUAAGCUUCUCUCUGUGAAUUUUGCUUCAAUCUCCUUUGUGGAUGUCAAAAGGUCUGGAAACAAAGCAGCAUACUCCUUGGCUGCACAAGCCAUGAAUGAUCCUAAUUUCCUUUGUAAUCUGAUGGCUCAAUUUGCUUUUCUA
rnacentral:misc_RNA from 1 species